AGUGAACGCUGGCGGUAGGCCUAACACAUGCAAGUCGAACGGCAGCACAGUAAGAGCUUGCUCUUACGGGUGGCGAGUGGCGGACGGGUGAGGAAUACAUCGGAAUCUACUUUUUCGUGGGGGAUAACGUAGGGAAACUUACGCUAAUACCGCAUACUUCCUACGGGUGAAAGCAGGGGAUAUUCGCACCUUUCGCGACUGAAUGAGCCGAUGUCGGAUUAGCUAGUUGGCGGGGUAAAGGCCCACCAAGGCGACGAACCGUAGCUGGUCGGAGAGGAGGAUCAGCCACACUGGAACUGAGACACGGUCCAGACUCCUACGGGAGGCAGCAGUGGGGAAUAUUGGACAGUGGGCGCAAGCCUGAUCCAGCCAUACCGCGUGGGUGAAGAAGGCCUUCGGGUUGUAAAGCCCUUUUGUUGGGAAAGAAAAGCAGCAGGUUAAUACCCCGCUGUUCUGACGGUACCCAAAGAAUAAGCACCGGCUAACUUCGU
rnacentral:rRNA from 1 species